rnacentral:tRNA from 1 species
UCCCUUGUGGCUCAGACAGUAAAGACUCUGCCUGAAAUGCAGGAGACCCAGGUUCGAUCCCUGGGUUGGGAA